rnacentral:lncRNA from 1 species
UGUUGAGGAAUGGAACAUGCUGUGAAAGCCGGAACUAGUGGGGAGGCUUCAGCAGAUCUAGGAGCCCAUUUAGCUAUCACACAUUCUCAAGAGGCUCUGGGCUCUGGUACUAUAAAGAUGGAGAAAACAGUGAGAAGUGAAAAUAAGGACGAGCCCCCAAAAGCCUGCAUACAGAGGGGUUGGACCCACCCCAACCUACAGAUUGUAGGCAGUCCAGGUGAAAAACAGAAGGCUCUUCCCUAAAAAAAAAAAAAAUGGAAUGAACAAUCUGGGAAAACCCACAGCUUCUAGUAUGGCUUCUACAACCCCAGAAUAAAGCCUCUCUUCAUUCCAGCCCUUAAGGGGCCUGAAUUCUAACACAUCUAUUCCCCCAAAACCAGAACUCACUCUAAAUUCCCACUCAGGGAGAGAUAUAUUGGGAGGAGGGACAGAAAAGAAACUCCAUUUACACAACAAAUCACUAUCCCAUCUGCGUAAACUGAAUAAUGCAUCCCUUUCCCAAAAUGUUACCUUAUAUGUGAAAAGGGACUCAGCAAAUAUGAUUAAAUCAAUGAUUUUGAGAUGGGAAAUUCCCCUGAAUUAUGUUGUAGGCCCAAGGUAAUCGUAAUCAUGAGGGUCCAUAUCACAGCGAGGCCAGGAAUGACAGGGUCAGAAAGAAGGCAUUGUGACAAUGACAGCACCAAGAGGACAGGUGACAUGACAUAGGGCUGCAAGCAGGAAUGCUGUGGGCCUGUAGAGGCUGGAAAGUCAAGGAAACAUACUUUUUUCCCCUGGAACCUCCAGAAGGAGCCAAGGCUUCCAACAACUUCAUUUUAGUUUUUGAACCCCACUUGGGAGAACACUGCUCUAAAUAAUUACUAAGUGGGAUAAUAAGUGUAACAAGUGGAAUAUUAAAGUGGAGGAAUGGUAGAGGCAUUGCAGAUGGCAGCACAGACAGUAUAAACCACAAACUGGAGAUCACUGGCCAAGCGGACCCAGUCCGAACUUCUCAACAUGAAAUUUCUGGAAUAAUGCUCACCUAAGAUUAACAGCAGUCGUUUCCGGAAGGUAAGAUUUGGGUAAAAUUUUUGUUUUCUUCUUUGUGUGCAGGACCAUGUCAAAUGCCAGUAGCUCCCUUCGGGGGGAAUAUUUACUUCUGGUGGCAGUACAAGACUCUUAAACAAGGGAUGUGGUCUCUCUUAAAACAAACGGGUUCUGGGUCUGCGAACCAACUCAGAUCGGGAAACUUGGUAGAGGACUAUGAUUUUCCACCCUAAGUGGAAAACUGUUUCAGUUUCACUCAUCAGUCUUGGACAUUUUCUUGAUGUUGUACAAGCCAAGUAGUAUUCCCACUGGCUCUCUAUCUUAUCUCUCAGAACACAGCUCAUUAUCACCACAGAUCCCUGCAGGGUAAGACACCUGAAGGGCCUGUCUAGCCUUACUAUCCAGUAGAGUAAUCGUGUCUACCUUCCAUCUAUCCAAGUGCCCCAUGUAGUGCCUGCCAUUCUGGAACCCAACUUUCCUGUUGAAAGGAGGCAGCUCAGUUCCAUAGCAGCAUCUCCUACUGUCGGCCCCGGAAUACAGAGGAAACCACCAUGGAGGUGGCUCAGUGCUAUCAGUGCCCCUCCCACCAGUGCACCUUAGCACCCUAGUAAAGGCCAUAUCCUCUAGGCCCUCCCAUGCACUGGCUUCUCUGGCCUAAAGCAACAAAACCACUCUCAUAUUCUCACUUUUCUGAUACUUUGACCCUUCCUCCAUAGUAAGCCAAGGCAGUUCUGCCAUGGCUGAAGUAGCAUGGAAGUAAGUGGCAGAAAAACUACUGCCUGGUAAAAAUCACAAACAAUUAUCAACAUGCCACAUUUUUUAAAAAUAAAGAUGAAGGACAGUUCAAACAUUGUAAACUGUAUCCAAAAUUAUAUUGAUCAUCAAAUUAAUAGUUCAAGGGGCACAUUGCUUUAAAGGAUUGGCCAUUAAUAGACAGAUUUUUCUACAGGGCUUGCCAGGUAACACUUUCCUCUCACGUUCUACUCAAGGGCUCUCUGUGGAAAACCUUUGCUUCUAGGUUGUAAAAUUUAGCACUAGUUUUAUUAGGUUGGUGCAAAAGUAAUUGUGGAAGUAAUUGUUGUGUUUGCCAUUACUUUCAAUGGCAAAACCCACAACUACUUUUGCACCAACCUAAUAUAUAGGUCAUUAGACUCAUGAUGUUAAGAUGCAUACUAAGAAACAGGCAACAGGUACAUCAGGCCCUGGUAUUUUUCAUGCAAUGAGAUAUAUAUUUAACAUCAUCAGGUUAUGUCUCUGAAAAAUUUGCAUCUGCAAAAUUGCACACUUGAAAUGUCAAAAUAAGUUACUAAAUUUUUUAGAGCUGCAGAAAUUUUACGCUAAUGGGGCAGUCUACCGCAAAGGUAGUAGUUUCACAGACUGAUUUUAUAUCCUCACUAAAAGAUGUUGGAAUCUUUCUUUUUAGUCACAGUUAUAUGAUAUAAAAUGUGCUAUUGGAUACUUCACUAUAUGAGAAAAGCUCCCUUAAAGAUAAAAUAAGGACAUAUACAAUCUUCUCUGAGUCCUUGGAGUCAGAGUAAAGAUACAUUUUAGCACAGAAAAUACUACAAUCUGGUCUUACUUUCUGAACACUUUAAUAGAAAUAGGCACAAAAAAAUUGUAAAAAGCAGGCAGUGUGUCAAGAACAGAAAUAGAAUGUGUCAUUUGGGGAUGGCCAUGUGGCUCCCAGAUUAGAUGUUUGCUACAUCCAUGAAAUCUGUCAAUCAACAGUUCAGUUUACGCAUGGAAGUUCUCCUUAUUUAAAAGUUUAAUGUUGCUGUGAUAACCGCUGUUAGAGAUGGUACCAGGGCCUGCCAGCAUACACUGCUUCUUUAUUCCUUUUCCUCUCCAGCCAACCAUCAACAGCCAGGACUACUGCCUGCUGAAGCUCCCGAAGCUCAUGAUACAGGGAGAGCAGAAGGCUGGAAACACAGCUGUGAUUAGCAAGCUGAUAGAUGAAGCAAGGCUGGAAGCAGGCGCUAUCUCCUGUGGUUAUCUUCCCAUUUAACACUUCAAAACACUUCUCCAGCACCUGUAGGUGAUGAGUGACAAUUAUCCUGAGUUUUUAAAACUUUUUGAAAAAUGAGCUAUUACUUUCUGUGGUUUUAUCUGCCAGAUCUCAGUUGAAACUCAGGAAGAAGCCAGAUAGUCAAAUGCUUCAAAAGGGUUUUUUUUUCAUGGUUCAAUAAUGGACAACUCAAGCCACACAAAUUGAGAAAAUUAACUAAAUUUAAUUAAGAUUAAUUAACUAAUUAACUAAAUUAAUGAACUCCAUAUAGAUGGAGUUCAAAAUUUUUAGAAAAAAACAUGUCUUAACUGCAUAUUUUAAUUCAUUUUACUUUAUGUGUUUCUCUACAACACAUUCAGUUCUCAAUGAGAUGUCUGUGUCUUAAUCUAGUAUGUUACUGCUUUUGAAUGAACAUGAAAUAUAAAAAUCAUGUAAGUUUGCCAGCUACAGUUCGUAAUUUAGAAGGACAAAUAGGUCAACCUGGUUAUAAACUCUUCCAAUAUAUAGCACUGUGUCUUUACUUUCUUUUUAUUUUCCUUAUCUUGCCUACCACAAUGCUUCGUAAAUUAUUCAUCAUUUUGAAUGAAACAAGGUGGCAUUCGAAAAACAGAAUUACAAGUAGGUGGAAGACAGCUGCUUCAUCUUCCCCAUCACCAAAUUGGCUGGUCCACCUGCAAAGACCCUGCCUUACCUAUGGCUUGAACGCAUGGCUGGCCUUGCAGCUACCUAAGGCGAGUCCCUUCAUCUGUACACUGGAUUCCAUCCUUUCUUGCCAAAUUAAGCAUGCUGCUCUUGAAAUUAUCCCAUCACUCUCUGCAUCAUCAAUAUUUUCUUCUCUAGUGGAUCAGUCUCAUCAAUAAGCAAACAUGUUUUUAGCUUAUCUCAUUUUAAAAAAACUUUCCUUUGACCACACACGUCCCUCUAGAUACCACUCAUUUCUCUGCUCCCUUUUCUUUCAAAAUUCCUCAAAACGGCUGCUCACAACGCAUUGUCUGUCCACCCACAUAAUUCAGACAUUGGUUCCCACAUUCUACUGAAACCAGUCUUGUUGAGGUGGCUAAAGACCUCGCCAUGCAGCAGUCAGUUCUCAGUCCCCAUCUAACUUCCCUUCUUGGCAACACCUGAAACAAGUGGUUACUCACUUCCUCCUUCCUGAAACACUGCACACGGCUUAUGGGAAAUCCCACCUUCUUAGACCUUCCUUUUACCUCACUGGUUGUUCCUUCUCAGUCUCUUUUGCUGCUUCCUCCACCUCUUCCUCAUAUGUAAGUGUUGGCAGCCCCUAGACUCAGUCCUGGAAGUUCCUUUCUCUUCUCUCUACUCAUGUAUCAGUGUCUGUCACCACCAUCCACCUGGUUGCUCAGUUGGGAAACUUUUAAGUCACAUUUUAGCCCACUCUUUACCUUACAUUCUAUUUCACAACCAUUGACAAGUCCUGCCUGCAAAAUAGAUCCCAAAUCUGA